GAUGAACGCUGGCGGCGUGCCUAAUACAUGCAAGUCGAGCGAACAGACGAGGAGCUUGCUCCUCUGACGUUAGCGGCGGACGGGUGAGUAACACGUGGAUAACCUACCUAUAAGACUGGGAUAACUUCGGGAAACCGGAGCUAAUACCGGAUAAUAUAUUGAACCGCAUGGUUCAAUAGUGAAAGACGGUUUUACUGUCACUUAUAGAUGGUUCCGCGCCGCAUUAGCUAGUUGGUAAGGUAACGGCUUACCAAGGCAACGAUGCGUAGCCGACCUGAGAGGGUGAUCGGCCACACUGGAACUGAGACACGGUCCAGACUCCUACGGGAGGCAGCAGUAGGGAAUCUUCCGCAAUGGGCGAAAGCUUGACGGAGCAACGCCGCGUGAGUGAUGAAGGUCUUCGGAUCGUAAAACUCUGUUAUUAGGGAAGAACAAAUGUGUAAGUAACUAUGCACGUCUUGACGGUACCUAAUCAGAAAGCCACGGCUAACUACGUG
rnacentral:rRNA from 1 species